GUGGUUUUUCCGAUUUAUGUUCUGAAUCUGCCAAACUUGAACUCUUUUUGUGCACUGAACUUUAGAUAGUCAUAUCUUCUAAACCAUGAAGGUUCUUAGAGUAAAUCCAACUGGAGAGUGUUAUGAUCUCUCCCUAGUUUCCAGAUUGACCUUUGGGGUUCCCAGUGGAGUUUUGUAAAGGGAGAUAUGAAUUUUUAAAGAAAGCCCACUGACUUGGUUGUAAUCUGGAAAUAUGAAAUUUACAGAUUUUUGCUUGUUAAAUAACCAUCUUUGAGAGGGCAUAUCUUGCUCGUUUGAAUUGUUUUUCAUUCGAUUCAAAUUGGAGAAUGAUCCUUGAAAUGUCUAGUUUCCAGAAUGUCUUUUGGAGCCUCAUUUGGAGAUCCGAGGUAGAUUUGGAGUCUGUUGUAAAACAACCCCUUAAGAGCUCAAGUUGUUGAAUUAUUUUCUAUGUAUCAAAGUUUAUUUUAAAGGAUGUUUCGUGAAAGAUUUAGUAUAUGUGCGUAACAAGUUUGGGACUAUUUAUUUUAAAUGAGGUCCGUUCUUUAUUUAAAUUAGGAUGGACUUUUAAUGAAUAUUUUUGGGAUUAAACUAUUAUUUCUUGAUUUAUAUAAAUUAUUUUUAAGGACUUAUAAAUAUGAAUUUCGUAGGCCUACUGACCUACUGUGAUCGACGGUUUGUCGAUGUCUAAUAGCUUUGAAAAUUUUAUAGAAAGUCCCUACAUGAGUCUUGAGUACCCUGGUAAAAUUUCAAGCCAUUCCAACUUCGUAUGAUACUUCUUUAAAAUGCAAAACCUAAACUGCACAUUACUACUGAGAAUUUCAGAGAACAGAGAAAAGAGUCAUUUAUUUCAGUAGCUUCCUGGGUGAUCUAGCUUUCCAAAUUUUUAUGGUAUUAACCUUAUUGUGUUAUUUAGAUAUCCACCAAAGUUGAGCCCAGUUUGACAACAUUUACUAUUUUUCAAAAAUACAAGUUUUCGAUUGUUCAAAACUGCCGAACAUGGUAGAUCGUGGUAAAAACGUCAUAUCUCUCAAACCACUUGGCGUUUUCGACUCUAUUUUUUUUUAUAUGAAACUAGACUCGAAGAUCUUUCUUUCGGUAUGAGUCUCGAGUCCAGGAGAUGUCGGAGUCAGAACAGAUUAAAUUUUGAAGUUGAGUCAGUGUAAAAGCAGAGCAUGUUUUGAUGAUGUUUGAUUGUGAUUCUUAUGUGCCUUAUGUUGAGCCUUUUUAUUUUAUUUUAUUUUUUUAAUUUUAUAACAUUACUUGUUCUUAUUUAUUAAGCCCGAUUAAUUAUGAGAUUAUAAAGCGAAUAAGUUGAAGUAUUUAUUUUCUAUUGACUACGAGGAACGGGGUUUAUUUAAUUGACGGAUUAGAACACCCGAUGAGAACGGAUUGAUUAUGAUAAUCUAUCCGACCUCAUGUGACGAGCCUUAUUUAAAUUAUUUUAUUUCGACAAUUAGGAUUUAUAAUAGAAUUUCCCAGAUUAUUAUCUCAGAAUAAUAAUUAUCGGAAUAUGAGUCAUGCAUAGUUAAAUUACGCAUUCUCAUUAAUUGAGGAUUUUAUUCGAGCAGUAUCUUAUUUAUAUUCUCGUAAUAAAGGUCAAACACGAGAUUAAUAAUCAGUCAAGGAGCUACUGUACCACAGAAAAUUUCUAUCAGGUUGAGCAGCUGCCGAUGGUGAUGAAGUGACGAGCGGGAUUCUUUUGUCUUAUUAUGUAUUAAUGAACUCUAGGGUUACAUGUCUUCAUACAUGUAAUCAGAACCUUAUUCCGCUGCGUACUCAGAAGUUUUAUGUUAUUUUGGAUAAGUCGGAGUUAUCCGAACUUGUUAGUUA